rnacentral:rRNA from 1 species
AGAGUUUGAUCCUGGCUCAGGAUGAACGCUGGCGGCGUGCCUAAUACAUGCAAGUCGAACGCAUCUUCUUCGGAAGAUGAGUGGCGAACGGGUGAGUAAUACAUAGGUAACCUGCCCCUGUGCGGGGGAUAACAGGAGGAAACUCCUGCUAAUACCGCAUAGCCAUGAGCACCGCAUGGAGCUCAUGCCAAAUAUCCUUUCGGGGAUAGCGCAGGGAUGGACCUAUGGCGCAUUAGCUAGUUGGCGGGGCAACGGCCCACCAAGGCAACGAUGCGUAGCCGGCCUGAGAGAGCGGACGGCCACAUUGGGACUGAGACACGGCCCAGACUCCUACGGGAGGCAGCAGUAGGGAAUUUUCGGCAAUGGGGGAAACCCUGACCGAGCAACGCCGCGUGAGCGAAGAAGGCCUUCGGGUCGUAAAGCUCUGUUGUAAAGGAAGAACGUCGGACACAGGAAAUGGUGUGCGAGUGACGGUACUUUACCAGAAAGCCACGGCUAACUACGUGCCAGCAGCCGCGGUAAUACGUAGGUGGCGAGCGUUAUCCGGAAUCAUUGGGCGUAAAGAGGGAGCAGGCGGCCGCAAGGGUCUGUGGUGAAAGACCGAAGCUAAACUUCGGUAAGCCAUGGAAACCGGGCGGCUAGAGUGCGGAAGAGGAUCGUGGAAUUCCAUGUGUAGCGGUGAAAUGCGUAGAUAUAUGGAGGAACACCAGUGGCGAAGGCGACGGUCUGGGCCGCAACUGACGCUCAUUCCCGAAAGCGUGGGGAGCAAAUAGGAUUAGAUACCCUAGUAGUCCACGCCAUAAACGAUGAAUACUAGGUGUAGGGGCCCCAAGCCUCUGUGCCGCCGCUAACGCAUUAAGUAUUCCGCCUGGGGAGUACGGUCGCAAGAUUAAAACUCAAAGGAAUUGACGGGGACCCGCACAAGCAGCGGAGCAUGUGGUUUAAUUCGAAGCAACGCGAAGAACCUUACCUAGACUUGACAUGUCCUGAAUUACCAGUAAUGUGGGAAGUUCCUUCGGGGACAGGAACACAGGUGGUGCAUGGUUGUCGUCAGCUCGUGUCGUGAGAUGUUGGGUUAAGUCCCGCAACGAGCGCAACCCUUAUUGUUAGUUGGUACCAUUAAGUUGACCACUCUAGCGAGACUGCCCGGGUUAACCGGGAGGAAGGUGGGGAUGACGUCAAAUCAUCAUGCCCCUUAUGUCUAGGGCUACACACGUGCUACAAUGGCAAGUACAAAGAGAAGCAAUACUGUGAAGUGGAGCAAAACUCAAAAACUUGUCUCAGUUCGGAUUGUAGGCUGAAACUCGCCUACAUGAAGCUGGAGUUGCUAGUAAUCGCGAAUCAGAAUGUCGCGGUGAAU